CUCACUUGCUUAGAUAGUAUUUGCAACCAGUUGGCCGGAUAAUCUGCACGACUAGGAACCAUUACUGUAACUUAACCAGGAAUGGACAGUGAUGUACAAUAUCCACCAUGUGACUUUGACCUUAACAACUUUAAAAGGAAGACACUACUGUAACGGUAACAUGUGAUACUAUUACAUAGUGCAUGUCGUGACACUAACCCCCCCCCCCCCUGCACGUCAGCGUGCAGGCUUGUUUUGCACCAAACUGGACCAUGUGCUCUUGGCCGGAGAAAGACUGCUCCCAUGUUGCGUAAUGUGCUACAGUCGGGCCUAUGUAGCAUGGGCUGAAGGUUGGAGGAGGGGCAGAGAGCAAAGAGUCACAAGACAUUGAUUCUGGCAAAACAAACCAUACAAGGAUUUGACUAGGAUAUCCUUGAUAAACAAUGGUUCAUUAUUGGCGAACAGCAGAUCAAACGUUGCAUGGUGCCCUGAGGUCUAGUCUUGGUUGGUAUUGCAUAACGGAUUCUUAUCAUUGGGUGAGAGAUACAGGUACAGGUUGAUAUAGUAAAGCAAAUGAAAGUGUUAUAGUCUGAAUGUGUUUUUAAUGUAAACUAUGAAGACGAAGCAGGUUUCGUCCCGUGAUAAGCCUUCUGCUUUGGCGUCUGCCAGCUAACACAAAGCUUGUGACAAAACACAAUGCUCGUACAUCACUACUCCAGGACUUGUGUUUCAUUAUCACUGCUCCGAGAGCCCCCCCCAGCCUCCUAACCAGCCUGUGGAACGUGAUCCUGCGGCCCGUCCGCCAGCCUGGAGACAGUAGCACACCACUGAUGCUAACCAUUCACUCAAUCCCACCCUCAUGUGUCCUGAUCAGACAACUACUAUGAUGACGCAUAUGACAUGCCCCUGUUUGAUAUGUUGACAAUGUAACAGAUGCAUGAGAUGGAUGGUAAGGAUUGUAUUGAUAAAUCACUUUCCUGACGCACUCAGAAAUGGGAGACAGUCCCUUUUUUUAUGGAGUAUCUUUAUGCAGUACAAUAAACUAAAAAUAUGUUUAACUACAGCUCAUUUUGUUAUCUUGUCCAUAUAAAAUGAUACAAAAUCGAAAAAUCUUUAAAUUGAAAGUCUUUCAAAUUUAUUUUCACCUCUUGUUUUAUAACAUUUACAGGGUUGAUACUUUUGUACUAUAUUGAGUCUGUC
ensembl:lncRNA